UAGCUCAGUUGGUAGAGCGCUCCACUGGAAAUGGAGAGUUCCCUGGUUCGAUACCAGG
rnacentral:tRNA from 1 species